rnacentral:rRNA from 1 species
AUUGAACGCUGGCGGCAGGCCUAACACAUGCAAGUCGAGCGGAUGAAGGGAGCUUGCUCCUGGAUUCAGCGGCGGAAGGGUGAGUAAUGCCUAGGAAUCUGCCUGGUAGUGGGGGAUAAUGUCCGGAAACGGGCGCUAAUACCGCAUACGACCUGAGGGAGCAAGUGGGGGAUCUUCGGACCUCACGCUAUCAGAUGAGCCUAGGUCGGAUUAGCUAGUUGGUGGGGUAAAGGCCUACCAAGGCGACCAUCGGUAAGUGGUCGGAGAGGAUGAUCAGGCACACGGGAACGGAGACACGGUCCAGACUCCUACGGGAGGCAGCAGUCGGGAAUAUUGGACAAUGGGCGAAAGCCUGAUCCAGCCAUGCCGCGUGUGUUAAGAAGGUCUUCGGAUUGUAAAGCACGUUAAGUUGUGAGGAAGGGCAGUAAGUUAAUACCUUGCUGUAUUGACGUUACCAACAGAAUAAGCACCGGCUAACUUCGUG